rnacentral:rRNA from 1 species
AAUACGUUCCCGGACCUUGCACACACCGCCCGUCAAGCCAUGGAAGCUGGGUGUACCUAAAGUCGGUAACCGUAAGGAGCUGCCUAGGGUAAAACUAGUGACUGGGGCU